UGAAUUAGUAACUGCUUCCAAUUUCCAAAAAAAAAUACCAAUUGUGUCAAACUUUCCAUUUUUGGAAUAGUUACGGAAUCUCCAUGAAUAGGAUCAAACCUUAUUCCAUGGUAUUUACAUGAGGUUCCUCAUUAAGAAAGUCCCCGAGAGGGCUUAGUUGAUCCAUGAUUUAUGUUUCAUCUUUCGUUUCCUUUUCGUUUGUUUCGAGAAAUCUAUCGAUCAAUUUCGAUUCUUUCUUUUUCUCUUGCUUCUUUUCUGAUCGAGAUGUAUAGAUCCUAUUCAU
rnacentral:lncRNA from 1 species